ACGCUCGACACCUACGGGAGGCUGCAGUUGGGAAUAUUGGACAAUGGAGGGAACUCUGAUCCAGUGACGCCGCGUGAAGGAAGAAGGUCUUCGGAUUGUAAACUUAUUUUAUCAGGGAAGAAAGAAAUGACAGUACCUGAAGAAGAAGGACCGGCUAACUACGCGCCAGCAGCCGCGGUAAUCUGAGCGGGCUGGCAAGGC
rnacentral:rRNA from 1 species